AAUUUGUUUUCAAACACUAAUGCCUGCCUCACCUGAUGGAACUUGGUGGCAAAUUCAGUAAAUCCAUGUUUUACACUGCAGCUAGAGAGGCUGAUCUCUGUCUGCAGCAGACACCCCUUCAGAGGACAUCCCCAGGUCUCUGAACAUUCUGCAGCCCCCUGGAGCAGGUGCAGUGGACUUUUCACCUUGCUCUCCAGGCAGAAAUUAAUGGAGCCAGAAGAACACACAAGGCUGCAGAAGACACCCAAGGCUGCAGAAUCUUCCCCCUCAUGGAAAGAAAAAAAGAGUGGAAAUCUGGAAACUUGGCCCCUGGCAGGGCAGGCAGUGUGUGUGAAUCAUGGCAGCCUGAUUCAGAGCAGUGAGGACAAUAAUCCUGAGCUGCACCAACUAACCUUCAAGCUUAGUCACAGUUUCACACAGCUAAUGAGCAGAGGGAGCAAUGAAUCCUGGAUUUAUGGCUCCCUGUUCCCAUAGAUUUCGCCUGGAGACAGCAGCAGUGUUUCCUUGCAUCUCUAAUGACUUAUCUUGUCUUGAGGUAUUUU